rnacentral:rRNA from 1 species
UGCGCAGGCGGCCAAGUGUGUGAGGCGUGAAAGCCCGGGGCUUAACCCCGGAAUUGCACCUCAAACUACAUGGCUAGAGCAUUGGAGAGGGUAGCAGAAUUCAUGGUGUAGCAGUGAAAUGCGUAGAUAUCAUGAGGAAUACCAGAGGCGAAGGCGGCUACCUGGACAAUUGCUGACGCUCAGGCACGAAAGCGUGGGGAGCAAAAG